rnacentral:rRNA from 1 species
UACAGGGGGUGCAAACGUUGCUCGGAAUCAUUGGGCGUAAAGGGCGCGUAGGUGGCGCGGGCAGUCAACGGUGAAAGUUCGGGGCUCAACCCUGAAUCGGCCGUCGAUACUCCCGGGCUUGAGCACUGUAGAGGCAGAUGGAAUUCCGGGUGUAGCGGUGGAAUGCGUAGAGAUCCGGAAGAACACCGGUGGCGAAGGCGGUCUGCUGGGCAGUAGCUGACACUGAGGCGCGACAGCGUGGGGAGCAAACAGG